UACGUAGGGGCCGAGCGUUGUCCGGAGUUAUUGGGCGUAAAGAGCGUGUAGGCGGCCCGAUAAGUCCGCUGUGAAAAGUCCAGGGCUCAACCCUGGAAUGCCGGUGGAUACUGUCGGGCUCGAAUCCGGAAGAGGUGAGUGGAAUUCCUGGUGUAGCGGUGAAAUGCGCAGAUAUCAGGAGGAACACCAAUGGCGAAGGCAGCUCACUGGGACGGUAUUGACGCUGAGACGCGAAAAGCGUGGGGGAGCAAACAGG
rnacentral:rRNA from 1 species